rnacentral:ncRNA from 2 species
CAAUAUCUUAAAGCGCCAGGACCUUUCUAUUAAUGCUAAGGUCGACGAGGAAGAGGGUUAUCGAAGUAUUCGGCGGAUCCCUCUCGGUGGCUUGUCACCGUAAAGCUUGCUUAAAACCAGAGAGUAAUUUUUGGGACAAAGGUAAAGCUGUCAAGACAA